AGUCUGGUGCCAGCAGCCGCGGUAAUUCCAGCUCCAAUAGUGUAUAUUAAAGUUGCUGCAGUUAAAAAGCUCGUAGUUGGAUUUCGGAUAAUAAAAAUUUAAUAUCCAUCCUUAAAAUGUGAUUUAAUUUUUAUUUCCUUCCUUUUGAAUACACUCCCUAAACUCUUUUAGGGAAUUAAGUGUUUCAAAUCGUUUACUGUGAAGAAAUUAGAGUGUUCAAAGCAGGCGUAACCUAGCCUUUGAAUAUAUUAGCAUGGGAUAAUGAAAUAGGACUUUAGUCCUACUUUCGUUGGUUUCUAGGGCUGAAGUAAUGAUUAAUAGGGAUAGUUGGGGUCACUAGUAUUUAAUUGUCAGAGGUGAAAUUCUAAGAUUUAUUAAAGACUAACUACUGCGAAAGCAUUUGACAAGGAUGUUUUCAUUAAUCAAGAACGAAAGUUGGGGGAUCGAAGAUGAUCAGAUACCGUCGUAGUCUCAACCAUAAACUAUGCCGACCAAGGAUCCGGGGUUGUUAAUAUGGAUGACUCUCCGGGCACUUAUAGAGAAAUCAUAAGUAUUUGGGCUCCGGGGGGAGUAUGGUCGCAAGGCUGAAACUUAAAGGAAUUGACGGAAGGGCACCACAAGGAGUGGAACCUGCGGUUUAAUUUGACAACACGGGGAAACUUACCAGGUCCAGACACAGUGAGGAUUGACAGAUUGAGAGUUCUUUCUUGAUUCUGUGAGUGGUGGUGCAUGGCCGUUUCUAGUUGGUGGAGUGAUUUGUCUGGUUAAUUCCGUUAACGAACGAGACCUUAACCUAUUAAAUAGUUGUUUGAACUUGAUUUUUUAAAUCAAAUGUUCAUUUAACUUCUUAGAGGGACUCUUCACUGAGAGAGUGAAUGGAAGUUUGAGGCAAAAACAGGUCUGUGAUGCCCUUAGAUGUUCUGGGCCACACGCGCGUUACACUGACAUAUUCAACGAGCAUUAUCCUUGCCCGUCGGGGUUGGGUAAUCUUUUAAAUGUAUGUCGUGCUGGGGAUAGAUCAUUGUAAUUAUUGGUCUUGAACGAGGAAUUCCUAGUAAGUGCGAGUCAUCAACUCGCGCUGAUUACGUCCCUGCCCUUUGUACACACCGCCCGUCGCUCCUACCGAUUGAAUGGUCCGGCGAGAACUCAGGAUGGAUAUGGAUUUUGGACCCGUUAGGUGUUCCAACCAUAUCCAGAAUUUGUUCAAACCUUACCAUUUAGAGGAAGGAGAAGUCGUAACAAGGUUUCCGUAGGUGAACCUGCGGAAG
rnacentral:rRNA from 1 species